GUCUUUGCGCUUUGGGGCAAUGGGGUAGCUAAUGAGGUUCUAACCGAGGCGUGUCUAUUGCUGUUUGGUUGAAAACUAAUUCUAAACCCCCUUAGGCUUGGGUUUGACGCUGACCUUUGAGAAUUUCUGCAAGGGCUCCCUUUGGGAUUUAAGCC